AAGUUUAAUAGCACUAAGGAGCAGUUAAACAGGUAAGUCUAAACAGGCAAGUCUAAUAGCACUAAGGAGCACUUAAAACAGGUAAGUCUAAAAGCACUAAGGAGCAGUUAAACAGGUAAGUCUAAACAGGCAAGUCUAAUAGCACUAAGGAGCACUUAAACAGGUAAGUCUAAAAGCACUAAGGAGCACUUAAAACAGGUAAGUCUAAUAGCACUUAAACAGGUAAGUCUAAUAACACUAAGGAGCACUUAAAACAGGUAAGUCUAAUAGCACUAAGGAGCACUUAAAACAGGUAAGUCUAAUAGCACUUAAACAGGUAAGUCUAAUAACACUAAGGAGCACUUAAAACAGGUAAGUCUAAUAACACUAAGGAGCACUUAAAACAGGUAAGUCUAAACAGGUAAGUCAUAGCACUUAAACAGGUAAGUCUAAUAGCACUUAAACAGGCUAGGGAGGUCCUGGCCAAAACAGGCAAAUCUAAUACUCUUCACCCUCUUCCUCAUCGUACCCAUCAAGGGAGUCAACUCCCACCUCCUCAUAAUCUUUUUCCAGUGCAGCCAUGUCCUCUCGGGCCUCAGAAAAUUCCCCUUCUUCCAUGCCUUCACCCACAUACCAGUGUACGAAUGCGCGUUUCGCAUACAUAAGGUCGAACUUGUGGUCAAGUCGAGCCCAGGCCUCAGCAAUGGCGGUGGUGUUGCUCAGCAUGCACACUGCCCUUUGCACCUUGGCCAGGUCUCCUCCAGGGACCACAGUGGGGGGCCGGUAGUUGAUGCCAACCUUGAAACCAGUGGGACACCAGUCCACAAAGUGGAUAGCGCGCUUGGUCUUGAUGGUGGCAAUGGCAGCAUUGACAUCUUUGGGAACUACGUCUCCACGAUACAGCAGGCAGCAGGCCAUGUACUUACCAUGCCGAGGGUCGCAUUUCACCAUCUGAUUGCCUGGCUCAAAACAGGCAUUUGUGAUCUCAGCCACUGUGAGCUGCUCGUGGUAAGCCUUCUCAGCAGAGAUGACCGGGGCAUAGGUGGCCAGGGGGAAGUGGAUACGUGGAUACGGCACCAAGUUAGUUUGGAACUCUGUCAGAUCAACAUUAAGGGCUCCAUCAAACCGAAGAGAGGCAGUAACAGAGGACACAAUCUGGCUCAUGAGCCUGUUGAGGUUGGUGUAGGUGGGGCGCUCAAUAUCAAGGUUUCGGCGGCAGAUGUCGUAGAUAGCUUCAUUGUCUACCAUGAAGGCACAGUCGGAGUGCUCCAAGGUGGUGUGAGUGGUCAAAAUGGCAUUGUAGGGCUCCACCACAGCUGUGGACACUUGAGGAGCUGGGUAGACUGAGAACUCCAACUUUGACUUUUUGCCAUAGUCAACGGACAAACGCUCCAUCAGCAGGGAGGUGAAACCUGAACCAGUGCCUCCUCCGAAACUGUGGAAAACCAAGAAACCCUGAAGCCCUGUGCAUUGGUCAGCCUGAGAAAACACAAUCAAAAGCCAUGAAUUACACUUUUUCAGGAAAAACACGUCAACUUAUAUGGGUGAAAAUUUAUCAUGUUUUAAUGUAUGCUCACCAACUUGCGAAUCCGGUCUAAAACCAGGUCGACUAUCUCCUUCCCGAUGGUGUAAUGCCCACGAGCAUAGUUGUUAGCAGCAUCCUCCUUUCCGGUGAUCAGCUGUUCAGGGUGGAACAGUUGGCGGUAUGUUCCAGUGCGCACCUCAUCUGAAGAGAAAUACCCAUUUAAGAUCUGCCACUGCAGAAAUGGGUGUUCCAGAACAGAAUAUACUUACCAAUAACGGUGGGCUCGAGGUCCACAUAAACCGCUCUAGGGACGUGUUUUCCAGACCCAGUCUCGCUAAAAAAAGUGUUAUAAGAGUUGUCUCCACCUCCAAUCUGUUUGUCAGAAGGCAUCUGCCCAUCUGGCUGGAUCCCAUGUUCCAAGCAGUAAAGCUCCCAGCAAGCAUUACCUAUUUGAACCCCUGCCUGACCAACGUGAACGGAGAUGCACUCACGCUGGGAAAGAGGGAAAAUAGUUUACAUGAUUAAAAAUUGUAAAUUCAUGCUAACUUCCUGUGCUUGAAAAAAAAUAGGGAUAUGUGCUAGGCCAGAUAGAUCACGUGACUCGAAGAGUGGGAAGGAGCAGUUAAGACAAAAAUCCAAAUCGCUUUUAAACUGCUAAAAAACUUAUAUGCAGUUAAGAGGGAAACACAUGAUUAAAAAUUGUAAAUUUAUGCCAACUAUCUACGCUUGAAAAACUGGGAUAUGAGCUAAAUGUUUUAAACGGCCAGAUAGAUCACAUGAUGCAAAGGGCGGGAAAGAGAGGU